UGGUGCUCACCAGAACAGUUGAAAGUUUAAGGAAUUGAAAUCAUCAGCAUCAAUUUGAGCUACACAAACUGGCACAUGUGAUGGACUUUUCAGUUUGUGAAACAAAAUCUGGAUAUCGUCAUUUUAUUGGCCUAGAACUGUACUUCAGGAACUGCUUCAACAGCCUUCUUGUGUUGUAACUCCUGCUAGAUCUAUUUAGUGACCUGAUUUGAUGCCACAGCUUCGACUCCAUGCAGCUCGUGUUUUGUCCAUGUUUGGAAGCACCUAUCUGUGCAAACAGAUGUUUUCAAUAUUGAAUUUAAACAAGACCAAGACCAGAUCGCGCAUUACUGACGAAAACCUACAAGCCUUUUUGCGGAUUGCCACAGCACAAGAGCUAAAACUAGACAUCGACGAACUGACCAGGGGAAAACGGUGCCAGACAUCCGGCCAGAAAACAUUGAACACAACACAAUGAGGAUGUGUGAGUUGGUGACAGGGUGAAGAGGAUCAGCGUUGUGUUCAAGGACAGGCAGCAUCACCUCAUUGUUUGGUUCUUAUGUGAAAUACAUGUUCGUUGUGUAAUAAAUAACAAAAAAGUUUUGUGAAUGAA